rnacentral:tRNA from 1 species
GGGGAUUUGGCACAGUGGUAGAGCGCUUGCCUAGCAAGCACAAGGCCCUGGGUUCGGUCCCCAGCUCCA